rnacentral:rRNA from 1 species
UACGUAGGCAGCGAGCGUUGUUCGGAAUUACUGGGCGUAAAGAGUGUGUAGGCGGUGUUCCCAGUCUGUUGUGAAAUCUCCCGGCUUAACUGGGAGGGUGCAGCGGAAACUAGAAUGCUAGAGGGUGGGAGAGGUAAGCGGAAUUCCUGGUGUAGCGGUGAAAUGCGUAGAUAUUGGGAGGAACACCAGUGGCGAAGGCGGCUCACUGGCCCGGUACUGACGCUGAGGCUGCGAAAGCGUGGGGAGCAAACAGG